rnacentral:lncRNA from 1 species
UAGGUGGAGGGGGAGGGACUGGAGAAGAAUUCGAGGACAAAGAGGGUGGAGGUGGAGCCAGUGGGAUGGUUGGAGAUGAAACAGUGGAACUAGCAGAUGAUCCAGAAUAGAGAGGAGGAGGUGGAGGUGGAGGAGGUCCAGCUCUAAUUGCUGAUUGCUCUUUCAAAGGUGGCUUUGGAGGAGGUGGAGGAGUUGGAGGUGAGGAAGUCGUGGACAAAGUGACUGUAGAAGCUGGAGGGGAAGGAGUAGAAAAUGAAGCAUCUGUAUUUCUAUUAAAGACUGGAGUCUUCAAAGGUGGUGUUGGGGGAGGAGGUGGAGGUGGAGGAAAAGUUGAUUUAGCAGUUGCAGGGGCUGGAAGGGGAGCAGUGGACAAUGAAGUACUAGAAUUAGUACCUGGAGAUGAGGUCUCUGGAGCAGGUAAAGGUGUGGCUGAUGAUGGCUUAUCCCUGUCCUGC